UACGUAGGGCGCAAGCGUUAUCCGGAAUUAUUGGGCGUAAAGAGCUCGUAGGCGGUUUGUCGCGUCUGCUGUGAAAGACCGGGGCUCAACUCCGGUUCUGCAGUGGGUACGGGCAGACUAGAGUGCAGUAGGGGAGACUGGAAUUCCUGGUGUAGCGGUGAAAUGCGCAGAUAUCAGGAGGAACACCGAUGGCGAAGGCAGGCUCUGG
rnacentral:rRNA from 1 species